rnacentral:misc_RNA from 1 species
AAGUCGUAACAAGGUUUCCGUAGGUGAACCUGCGGAAGGAUCAUUAACACGUAUCCAACGUUAAAAACACCCCUGUGAACCCGUUAAACUUGCUCCUCAGGCCCUGCACGCCUAGCAAUCCCUGGUAAAUCAUUGUCUGACCAGAUUUUGAGUCAGGGACUUCUGACGUGACGCGAAGAAUGUCUGGAAAAAUGGCAUCUGCGUGAGAUGAAGCUAUGAGGUAAGAUGCACUUGUGCUCCCCAAGUACCCAUGUUUCUGAAAGCGGGACAUGGAAUACGUAAGGAGCGACGCUGUAACGUUUGCUCUAGGCCCACACGGCCGGCGACCGGGUCCCUGAGCUCUGCUCCCUAAUAACCUUUGCAUGAAAACGGGCCUGCGCUUAAUUGUGCGGCCACCAAACUCGAACAACUGUUAACAAUGGAUAUCUUGGUUCUC